rnacentral:lncRNA from 10 species
UGCCUCCUUAUUGAUCUUAGAAUGAAAUCCAGAUUCACUAAAGAGUUCCUCAGUCCUCUAGGACCUGGCCCUUUUUUCUCAUUGAUCAUACUGCCUGCUCCUAUUCUGAGGGUAACAGGAACCUCGAGGAGGGAGGAUAUUCUGUUUCCCUAUAACGUUUUGAAGAGUCUCAGUAGAAGCAGCCUGUUUUUGACAAAAAGAUCGUCAGAGUACAGCUCAGCACAUUCUCACAGACAGAAUCGCCCUGGUCCAGACAUCGUCAGCAUCCUGGAAGCUGCCAUGCCACCUAUCACUACCCCCACCAAGGGAGCCACUACGCUGACUUCUAAAUACAGAUUAUUUUUGUCUGUUGUUGUGCUUUAUAUAAAAAUGUAUGCUCUGUG